GACAGAGGGUGCAAACGUUGUUCGGAAUUACUGGGCGUAAAGCGCGUGUAGGCUGCCCUGCAAGUCGGAUGUGAAAGCCCUGGGCUCAACCUAGGAAGUGCAUUCGAAACUGCAGGGCUGGAGUCCUGGAGAGGAAGGCGGAAUUCUCGGUGUAGAGGUGAAAUUCGUAGAUAUCGAGAGGAACACCGGUGGCGAAGGCGGCCUUCUGGACAGUGACUGACGCUGAGACGCGAAAGCGUGGGGAGCAAAGGGG
rnacentral:rRNA from 1 species